CCUACGGGAGGCAGCAGUGGGGAAUCUUGCGCAAUGGCCGAGAGGCUGACGCAGCGACGCCGCGUGGGGGAUGAAGCAUUUCGGUGUGUAAACCCCUGUUGCUCGGGACGAACGACCCUUUUCGAGGGGUGUGACGGUACCGAGUGAGGAAGCACCGGCUAACUCCGUGCCAGCAGCCGCGGUAAUACGGAGGGUGCGAGCGUUGUCCGGAAUCACUGGGCGUAAAGGGCGCGUAGGUGGUUGGAUGCGCCGGUGGUGAAAGCGCAGGGCUCAACCCUGCGUCGGCCAUCGGGACGGUCCGACUGGAGCACUGUAGAGGCAGGUGGAAUUCCGGGUGUAGCGGUGGAAUGCGUAGAGAUCCGGAAGAACACCGGUGGCGAAGGCGGCCUGCUGGGCAGUUGCUGACACUGAGGCGCGACAGCGUGGGGAGCAAACAGGAUUAGAUACCCUGGUAGUCCACGCCGUAAACGAUGGGCACUAGGUGCUUGGGGGAGCGACCCCUGAGUGCCGACGCUAACGCAUUAAGUGCCCGCCUGGGGAGUCGACCGCAAGGUUGAAACUUAAGGAAUUGACGGCGNGAGACGNGCGAGGCGACGACGAGGGAGAGG
rnacentral:rRNA from 1 species